GAUGAAGAACGUAGCGAAAUGCGAUAAGUAGUGUGAAUUGCAGAACUCAGUGAGUCAUCGAAUCUUUGAACGCACAUUGCGCCCCCUGGUAUUCCGGGGGGCAUGCCUGUCCGAGCGUCAUUACAACCCUCAAGCUCAGCUUGGUGUUGGGCCCCGCCGCCCCGGCGGGCCCUAAAGUCAGUGGCGGUGCCGUCCGGCUCCGAGCGUAGUAAUUCUUCUCGCUCUGGAGGUCCGGUCGUGUGCUCGCCAGCAACCCCCAAUUUUUUUCAGGUUGACCUCGGAUCAGGUAGGGAUACCCGCUGAACUUAAGCAUAUCAAUAAGCGGAGGA
rnacentral:misc_RNA from 1 species